GAUGAAGAACGUAGCGAAAUGCGAUAAGUAAUGUGAAUUGCAGAAUUCAGUGAAUCAUCUAAUCUUUGAACGCACAUUGCGCCCCCUGGUAUUCCGGGGGGCAUGCCUGUUCGAGCGUCAUUUCACCACUCAAGCCUCGCUUGGUAUUGGGCAACGCGGUCCGCCGCGUGCCUCAAAUCGACCGGCUGGGUCUUCUGUCCCCUAAGCGUUGUGGAAACUAUUCGCUAAAGGGUGUUCGGGAGGCUACGCCGUAAAACAACCCCAUUUCUAAGGUUGACCUCGGAUCAGGUAGGGAUACCCGCUGAACUUAAGCAUAUCAAUAAGCGGAGGA
rnacentral:misc_RNA from 1 species